AGUGAACGCUGGCGGUAGGCCUAAUACAUGCAAGUCGAACGGCAGCACAGUAAGAGCUUGCUCUUACGGGUGGCGAGUGGCGGACGGGUGAGGAGUACAUCGGAAUCUACUUUUUCGUGGGGGAUAACGUAGGGAAACUUACGCUAAUACCGCAUACGACCUACGGGUGAAAGCAGGGGAUCUUCGGACCUUGCGCGAUUGAAUGAGCCGAUGUCGGAUUAGCUAGUUGGCGGGGUAAAGGCCCACCAAGGCGACGAUCCGUAGCUGGUCUGAGAGGAUGAUCAGCCACACUGGAACUGAGACACGCUCCAGACUCCUACGGGAGGCAGCAGUAGGGAAUAUUGGACAAUGGGCGCAAGCCUGAUCCAGCCAUACCGCGUGGGUGAAGAAGGCCUUCGGGUUGUAAAGCCCUUUUGUUGGGAAAGAAAAGCAGCAGGUUAAUACCCCGCUGUUCUGACGGUACCCAAAGAAUAAGCACCGGCUAACUUCGUG
rnacentral:rRNA from 1 species